GUCAGAUCACCUUCAGCACCAUCAUGUUCUCUGUAGCUCUGCUGCUGCUGCUGGCUGCUGGAUCCUGUGUGAAGUGUGAACAGCUGACACAGCCAGCCUCUGUGAUUGUGCAGCCAGGUCAGCGUCUGACCAUCACCUGUCAGGUCUCUUAUUCUAUGGGCAGCUACUACACAGCUUGGAUCCGACAGCCUGCAGGGAAAGGACUGGAGUGGAUUGGGAUGAAAAGUACUGGAUAUUCAUACUAUAAAGAUUCACUAAAGAGCAAGUUCAGCAUUGAUUUGGACACUUCAAGCAGGACAGUGACUUUAAACGGACAGAAUAUGCAGCCUGAAGACACUGCUGUGUAUUACUGUGCCCGAUACCACAGUAACACAAAGCAGCAGCAGAGCUGA